rnacentral:lncRNA from 1 species
CGUCACAUUUACUGUCUCCAGGAUCCACUCCCAGUCUGAGUUGUGGCCUCUGUUGGACCUGGGGUAGCAAUCAGUGCUUGCUUGCAGCUACUCAGACCUGCAGUGGGCCCUGGCCAUGUGCCUCCAGCAAAACCUUGGUCCACUACGGCUGUGAUGGCCCGCCUCACGCUACCCGAGCACCUGCUCACCCUUCUCCAGCCCCAGAGGGAGGACACUGUCCUCACUUCCUUUCAGUCCCUGACUGCCUGGGGUUGGCUUCUCUCCUGUGGCUGGGUGGAAGCAGACCUUCCUCCAGGGAGGGCCCACCGCCUCCAGGCUGUGCCUGCUUCCAGGACUCCACGGCCACACCGCAGCCCAGGCCUUGCAGCAGCUCAUACUGCCAUAAAUAAUGCCGCCAGCUACAGACAUUUUCUCACUGCCGCAGUCCGGCUGGACACAGUAACCGGGAGGUGACAAGCGACUUGAAGGUUGAAACGGGAACUGCUUUAUUGCGGGGGAAACUCAGCGGGAACCCAAGGUAGCAGGAGCCGCCUUACUGCAAAACAGCAGAGGUCUAUAUACCUAACUGAUCACACACAGCUUGACUCGAUUAGCAUCAUCCAGUUACGGCCAAUCGGGAAUCUCCUCCAUCUUAAUGGCUCGGGGGCAUUGCCUCACAAACCACUCCUCCUGGCAAACUGCCAGGCGCCAUCUUGACUUGAUUUGCAGUCCCCAACAUCUCACAAUCCUGGAAGCCAGAAAUCUGAGGUGAAAUCACCGGAAGUCUUGUUUUCUCCAGGGCUUGCACCUUCUGUGUCUACACAGGCAUUUCUCUCUGCAGCCAGGUUCCCGUACUUAAGGGUCAUAAGCCAAACUGGAUGGGGGCCCAUCCUAACACCCAUUUUAACUGUCACCUCUGCAAAUUCUUAAUCUCUGAAUACAGUCACGAGCUGAGCCAGCGGGGUCAAGACUUCAGCAUGGGUCAGUGAGGGUACAGUUCAGCUCGCACAGGCAGGUUUCCCAAAGUCUGUAUUCAGUUUCAUUCACGCACAAGUGUCAUCUGUAUUCUGUGUAAAUAAGAGACCCACAUUCUCUCCUGAGUGAGGAAAGAUGGGGUGUCCUGUUUCAGGAGUGUUGGAGAGCCGCUUGGCACAUCAGAAUGAGGACGAGUGCUGGGCACGGUGCUGCCAGACGGAGGUUGGGAUCUCGCGUCCACCCAUCUUUCAGCUCCAGUGCAAUCUUCACUGCCCACUCCGUGAAAAGGGCUGCACUGGGGUGUUUCUCUCGGGUCUGGACACUGCUAAAUGUUGCCGGCAGGCACGCAGGAGAGCCACUGCGGGGAAGCCACUUCUCCCUGUUCUCUGCUUCCUUCUGCCUGCUCCCUGCUCUGGCCAACACAGCGACUGUGCCUCCGCAGGCACAGUCACUCAGGCUCACGUGGACGCCUGGGGCCCAGCCUCAGCUGCUAGCACCCCCGCAGGCGAUUCCUGCUGGCCUGUCCUGGCCUUACGGGAGCCGUUCCAGAAAACACACGAGUCCGAAUUUCAAAUCAAAAGAGAGCUUUAUUGACCUGGCCAGGGACUGCCACCCACCGCAGAGACUCGCUCUGUGGGAGGACAGCAGCUUCCUGUCCAUCCAAGGAGAAAGCACAAAACCCCAACUCAGUGACGUGCUUGUUGUCAUCGAAGCUAGCCAGUCACAGACAUGAAAAUAUUAAUAAUGGGACCGUGGGCUCUGGGCAGGACUCCAGUCAGCAAGCGAGCGAUAAACAGAAGCUACAAAUGCACAGCUCUGCGCUUCAGAUGACCACAGUCCCGGGCUCAAGCAGGUGCUAGACAGUCACCCCCAAACCUGGGUGGGCGUCAGCGGGACAAGAAUCUACUUCAAAGUCACGUAGACCCACAAGGGCACUCACACCCAGGGUGUAGCUCCCAUGCCCACUGCUGCAUCCCGAGUAGGGCUCAGGGUGUGGGUACAAAGUGCAGAAAAACAAGUUUUCAAAAUAAGAAAACAGCUUUAGUUUCUGUUUCCUAGAAAUGGGUCAUGCAGUUCUCUCUUCACAGGGACAGUGACAAACUAACAUGGAGUUUCUAUAGUCACAUCAUUUUACUUAAAUGACUACAGUGUGACCUUAUUCCUGUAAUCCCAACAAGGCGGGAAUUGUUGCAAGUGACUAAUGAGUCUCUACCAGAGCAAUUGCUUUACACACUCAGUACUAGUGACUUAUUUGAUGCCUGCUUAAAACUACACACAUUUUCAUCUGUUGUUUUAAUACCUAUAAACCCUAUGUCCUUUAUCCUAUGCAAGGCUACAAGAUCAAAUUCCUAUGUUGAUCAAUUUGAUCAUAUUUAUUUAUAACUAUGCUGACACACUGACACAUCCUAUGGCUUAAAUCCUAUGUUUUACAGUUACAGGAUUCUUCUACUAUUAUGUAGGCUUAUUCCUGAUGAACUUAUCUUAUUAUCACUUAUCUAUGUUAUCUUACCUUAUUCCUGUAGUCUUUAUGUCCAUUGCUUAUUGAUUAUUUAUUCUAUCUUGCCUUAUACCUAUAACCUAUAUCUAUGACUUAUUGAUUAUAUUGAUCAGUUCCCACCAUAACACUGGCAGGGUUCCCUGCCCACCAUCCGUGGCCCACCUGCACCUGGGGCUAUUGCUCACCAACUGCUGACCAGCUCUACCUGGGCCACUCUGGGAAGGAAGCGUCUCUGCAUCUACUGAGUAGCACAACUUGGAACCACCUAUUCUGGUGUCGGAGCCUGAUCCCGCAGGUCCUCACAUGGCCCUCCUCACAAUUCUCAGCCCUGGGUCUUUGUGGUUCUCUUGACCUCCAAGGACAAUUAUAUUAGGGCCAAUAAUUGCUAUGUUAGACCUUCCUUCUUCAUAUUUCUGUCUCCUGAUUGGACCUGCACACAGAACCAUGAGUUUGUAGCAACCUGGGUCUUGGAAAGAAUAGUGGUCUUUCCCACAGGCACCUGUUUUCUGUGUGAGGCAGUGGCCAGCCCUUGUCUGCUUCUGCUGGAACACUUCACUGAGACGAGACUUGAGAGGACCCCAGGUGUCCUGGCCCCAGCUGCAGGGAUGUCAGGAUGCAGUUUCAGUAGUGGUGUGCAGCUAAGGCUUCCUAAUUCCAUGUUUUCCCUCAGGUCACAGAGUGGUGCUGCGCUUUUGAACUCAGUUCAGAGCCUCCUGCAUCUCCAGUCAUUCUGUUUAAAUACCAUUCUAAGCAUAACAAUUAAAAGCCAUUUUCUAACAACAUGAAAAGUGUUUUCUUAUAUCUUCUACAGUUUAUUUUUAAUUUUUUACUUUAUCAAGAUGGGGUCUUGCUGUGUUCCACACACUGACUUCUAACUCCUGUAAGAGCCUCAAGUACUUCUCCUGCCUCAGCAUCCUGAGUAGCUGAGACUACAGGUGUGCACCAAUGGGCCUGCUUAUUGUCUGGAGUGUAAAUGUCACCUGUGGAGCCUCUGCCAGUCACAGCAUUUGAUAUAUCUUCCAGCACACCCUCAAGUUCUGCCCUGAGAGGCUCGCAGCUGCCUCCUGCACACCUGUAGGCAGCGCCACAUGAGCUUAUCAUCACAUUCCCA